rnacentral:rRNA from 1 species
UCUGCAACCCGACUACAUGAAGCUGGAAUCGCUAGUAAUCGCGAAUCAGCAUGUCGCGGUGAAUACGUUCCCGGGUCUUGUACACACCGCCCGUCACACCAUGGGAGUUGGAAAUGCCCGAAGUCAGUGACCCAACCGAAAGGAGGGAGCUGCCGAAGGCAGGUUCGAUAACUGGGGUGAAGUCGUAACAAGGUAAC